rnacentral:rRNA from 1 species
CCUACGGGGGGCUGCAGUAAGGAAUAUUGGACAAUGGCGGAGACGCUGAUCCAGCUAUCCCGCGUGCAGGAUGACGGCCCUACGGGUUGUAAACUGCUUUAGACUGGAGCGAAAAAGUGGGAUUUAUCCUACAUUGACGGUACCAGUAAAAUAAGCACCGGCUAACUCCGUGCCAGCAGCCGCGGUAAUACGGAGGGUGCAGGAAUUAUCCGGAAUCACUGGUUAGAAGGCGUCUGUAUACGUCAGGAGUGAAAGGCCAUGGCUCAACUAUGGGAUUGCUUUUGAUACUGACGAGCUUGGAUUAGGACGAGGUUGGCGGAAUGUGGCAAGUAGCGGUGAAAUGCAUAGAUAUGCCAUAGAAUACCGAUUGCGAAGGCAGCUGACUAGACCUAUAUUGACGCUGAGGCACGAAAGCGUGGGGAGCGAACAGGAUUAGAUACCCGUGUAGUC